GACCACGUAGCUCAGUUGGAAGAGCAUUAGGCUAGUAUUCCAAAGGUCGUAGGUUCGAAUCCCACCGUGGCCG
rnacentral:tRNA from 1 species